UGUCUCUUUCUCUAAUUCUUAGGGCGAGGGGCACUUUCUCUCUGAUCCCCUCCGCAUUCAGAUUAGGUAGGCCCAAGCAGUCAGCAUCAAAGGGUUGGUGGUUUCCUACUUCUUUUCUGGCUUUUGCCGCAACGUGGUUCGUUCCUCCUCCCUCGGGGCGGCGUUUUUCUAUUGGAAAUGCCUCUGUCAAAUCAUCUAAUUGUAGAGAGAGAAAGAGAGAUGCACAAUUUCCCUCUCUUAAAGUGCAGCCCUUUCCAGUUGUAGAGCCAUCGCAUUCCUGAACCAGGAGGGACUGUUCAUUUCUUAGAGGGAGAGAGUGAUGCGUUUCAGGGUGGUAUCUGAGAGCAAUAGAGUUUUGUUUUUGUAAAUGGAGAAAGGAGGGGUUUUUCAUUUCUAGAGAGAGAGAGAGAGAGAGAGAGAGAGAGAUGGGGGGUUCAACGCGGCAGCUGAAAGCGAUGCUCCGGAAGAAUUGGCUACUGAAGAUUCGUCAUCCCUUCGUCACUGCAGCUGAGGUUUUACUCCCGACGGUAGUGAUGCUGAUGUUGAUUGGUGUGAGGACUAGAGUUGACACACAGAUGCAUCCUGCACAAGCGUAUAUACGUAAGGGCAUGUUUGUUGAGGUGGGUGGAAAUGAUAUAUCUCCUAGUUUUGAUGUUCUUCUUAAAUUGUGGUUUGCCAAGGAUGAGCACUUGGCAUUUGCUCCGGAUACGUCACAGACUAGGCUGAUGUUAAAUGUUUUGGCUUUGAGGUUUCCUCUCCUAAAGAUGGUUGGAAGAAUUUAUAAAGAUGAAGCUGAGCUAGAGACCUACCUACGCUCUGAUGAUUACGGUGUCCAUGAUCCAAUAAGGAAUUGCUCAUACCCCAUGAUCAAAGCGGCAAUAAUAUUUCAUGAACUUGGGCCAUUGGUAUUCGACUACAGUAUACGACUGAACCACACAUGGGCUUUCUCUGGAUUUCCUGAUGUCAAAUCUAUUAUGGAUACCAAUGGGCCUUAUCUCUAUGACUUGCAAUUGGGUGUUGACACAGUGCCCACCCUUCAGUAUGGCUUCAGUGGGUUUUUGACUCUGCAACAAGUAGUGGAUUCUUUCAUAAUAUCUUCUGCACAAAGAAGUAGUGCUGAUCUUUUCCAUGAUGGUGCAAUUAUUGGAGGAUUAAGCUUAUCAGGAAAACCUCCUACUUCAAAGAUUGCUGACAAAGAUACGGAAUAUCCGGAUAUCAGUGGGGAUAGAGUUUUCCAGGAUGAGAAGCAUCGCUGGAAACCCUUUCAGCUUUCAAGAACAAGGAUUGUUCCAUUUCCAACACGCGAAUACACUGAUGAUGAAUUUCAAACAAUAAUCAAGAAAGUUAUGGGGGUGUUGUACCUUUUGGGCUUUUUGUAUCCAAUAUCUCGGUUAAUCAGCUACUCCGUUUUUGAGAAGGAGCACAGGAUUAAGGAAGGCCUGUACAUGAUGGGUCUUAAAGAUGAGAUAUUCUAUCUCUCAUGGUUCAUAACAUACACUAUACAGUUUGCAGCGUCAGCGGCCAUCAUUACAUUGUGCACGAUGACCAGCCUUUUCCAGUAUAGUGACAAAACUGUGGUGUUUAUAUAUUUCUAUUUGUUUGGACUCAGUGCAAUCAUGCUCUCAUUUUUGAUAUCAACAUUCUUCUCACGAGCAAAAACAGCUGUUGCUGUGGGAACCCUUUCAUUUCUUGGAGGAUUUUUCCCUUACUACAUGGUCAAUGACCCUGCUGUACCCAUGGUGCUGAAGGUUUUAGCCUCAUUCUUUUCUCCAACAGCCUUUGCACUUGGAACCAUUAACUUUGCUGACUAUGAGCGUGCUCAUGUUGGAGUCCGUUGGAGCAAUAUCUGGGAGGAUUCUUCUGGAGUAAACUUCUUGAUGUGCCUCUUGAUGAUGAUGCUUGAUACGAUUCUAUACUGUGUGAUUGGACUCUACCUUGAUAAGGUUCUCCCUAGAGAACAUGGAGUACGUUAUCCAUGGUACUUCCUGUUCUCCAGGGAUUUUUGGCAAAAGAGUAAGAGUAAUCAACAUCAUAGCCAUUUGGAUGCUGAGGUGAACAUGGAGCACAAGCGCCGUGCAGCAACUCUGGGUAUUGGAAAAUUUUCUCCUGUUGUGGAGCCCAUCAGCCUAGACAUGAAAAACCUAGAACUUGAUGGGCGAUGCAUCCAGAUUAGAGAUCUGCAUAAAGUAUUCAUAUCUACAAAGGGGAAGUGCUGUGCGGUGAACUCCUUGCAGCUUACGCUGUAUGAGAAUCAGAUUCUUGCUCUUUUAGGGCAUAAUGGUGCUGGGAAAAGCACCACAAUAUCUAUGCUUGUUGGCCUGCUUCCUCCUACUUCUGGCGAUGCUUUGGUGUUUGGGAAGAGUACCAGGACUGACAUGGAUGUAAUUCGGAAGCAACUUGGUGUCUGCCCACAACAUGACAUCCUAUUUACAGAAUUGACGGUGAAGGAACAUUUGGAAAUAUAUGCGAUCUUAAAGGGUGUUUCUGGGGACACUUCGGAAAGUGAAAUAAGUGGGAUAUUGAAUGAGAUUGGCUUGGUUGACAAGGCUCAUACCAUUGUGAGUGCAUUAUCGGGUGGAAUGAAGCGAAAAUUAUCAUUGGGACUUGCACUUCUUGGAAACAGCAAGGUUAUUAUACUUGACGAACCGACUAGUGGAAUGGACCCAUACUCAAUGCGUUCUACAUGGCAAUUAAUCAAAAGGAUGAAGAAGGGAAGAAUAAUCUUACUAACGACACACUCAAUGGAUGAGGCUGAUGUGCUCGGUGAUCGCAUAGCUAUUAUGGCAAAUGGUUCUUUGAAAUGCUGUGGAAGUUCAUUGUUCUUGAAGCAUCAUUAUGGUGUUGGCUACACCCUGACAUUGGUGAAGAGUACGCCAGGUCCCUCUGCAGCUGCUGACAUUGUUCUUCGUCAUGUUCCUUCUGCAACAUAUUUGAGUGAUGUUGGCACAGAGAUAUCCUUUCGGCUUCCCCUGACAUCCUCAUCAUCUUUUGAGACCAUGUUUUUGGAAUUAGAAAGGUGCAUAACAAAACCAGAAAUUAUUCCAAGAAGAAACACGAGUGAGGGUGAACAUAGUGUUGGUAUUGAGAGUUUCGGCAUCUCUGUUACUACAUUGGAGGAGGUCUUUUUAAGAGUAACUGGAUGUGACUUUGAUGGAUUUGGACUUGUUGAACCAAAUCCAAAUCAGUAUGGGGAAAAUAUAGUUGCAACGGAAGGCAUUCCUUGGUCAACUAUGUCAGAAGGUCCGAACUCUGAGGAUUGCAUUGGUACCUGUGGAAAUGAUCACUUGAAGACAUGCUUUUCAAUCAAUAGAGCCUGUGGCCUGAUAUUGUCAACAUUUAUCAGUGUAUUGAUGCUUUUGAAACAUCAUUGUUGCUGCUCUUGGAGUGUGAUAAACCCUAUUUUCAAGGAGCAUUUUAAAGCUCUCCUUGUAAAACGGUCAAUCUGUGCUCGAAGAGAUAAAAAAACUGUUUGUUUUCAGCUUCUUAUCCCUGCAUUGUUCUUGUUCUUUGGUUUACUCUUCCUGAAGCUUAAACCUCAUCCAGAUCAGCAGUCUGUUACUCUUACAACUUCAUAUUUCAAUCCUCUGCUGACUGGUGGUGGUGGGGGUGGGCCCAUUCCAUUUAAUCUAACUCAUGCAAUCUCAAGGAAGGUGGCUGCUUAUAUGAAAGGGGGGUGGAUUCAAAGACUGAAACCAAGAUCAUACAAAUUCCCAAAUCCAGAAAAGGCACUCCAUGAUGCUGUUGAAGCAGCAGGACCUGUUCUGGGCCCAGCCCUUUUGUCUAUGAGCGAGUUUCUGAUUACUAGCUUAAAUGAAUCGUACCAGUCAAGGUAUGGUGCAAUUUUAAUGGAUGACCUUAAUGACUAUGGAGACAUGGGAUACACGGUACUUCACAAUUGUUCUUGCCAGCAUGCAGCCCCAACAUAUAUCAACUUAAUGAACAAUGCAAUUUUACGGUUUGCUACUGGCAACAAAAGGAUGGAGAUUCGCACUCGGAAUCACCCUCUGCCAAUGUCAAAAAGUCAACACUCACAACAUCAAGAUUUGGAUGCAUUUUCGGCUGCAAUCAUAGUUAGUAUUGCUUUCUCUUUCAUUCCUGCAUCAUUUGCAGUGCCCAUUGUUAAGGAGCGGGAGGUUAAAGCCAAACACCAGCAACUUUUAAGUGGGGUAUCUAUUCUUGCGUACUGGAUCUCCACUUUUGUUUGGGAUUUCAUCAGCUUCUUAUUUCCAAUGUCACUUGCAAUUGUUCUUUUCUACAUUUUCGGGCUCCAUCAGUUUGUUGGAACCAUGGGCAUUUUGCCCACUACACUUAUGUUUUUGGCAUAUGGGUCAGCAAUACCGUCGUCUACAUACUGCCUCACAUUUUUCUUCUCUGAUCACACUAUUGCCCAGAAUGUGAUUCUCUUAGUGCACUUUUUAAGUGGGCUAAUUCUUAUGGUUAUAUCAUUCAUCAUGGGACUUGUAAAAGCAACCAAAAGUACAAAUUCUUUACUCAAGAACUUUUUCAGAAUAUCACCAGGAUUCUGCUUGGCUGAUGGGCUUGCCUCACUUGCGCUUCGAAGACAAGGAAUGAAGUCUGAAUCUGGCGAAGGAACUUUUGACUGGAAUGUGACUGGUGCAUCCAUCUGUUACUUAGGACUUGAGAGCGUCCUAUAUUUUGUAUGUACCAUUGGGCUUGAAUAUUUCUCAUCCCACCAGUUAAGCUUCUGUACAAUCAAGGGAUGGUGGACAAAAGGACCAAAGGCAUUCAGCCACAUUUUCACGUUUAAGAGUAUAUCUGAGCCCCUGAUUGAAUCAUUGUUGGGAAGUCAUGCUUCAGGUUCUAGUGAGGAAGAUGCGGAUGUUCAGGCAGAGAGAUUCAGAGUCUAUUCUGGUGCUGCUGAGAAUAGCAUAAUAUAUUUACGUGAUCUUCACAAGGUGUAUCAUGGUGGAAGGCUUAACACUUAUAAAGUUGCUGUCCAUUCUCUUACUUUCUCUGUUAGAGCAGGAGAAUGUUUCGGCUUCCUUGGACCAAAUGGUGCAGGGAAGACAACAACUUUGUCAAUAAUAUCUGGAGAAGAACAUCCAACUGAAGGAACUGCAUACAUAUUCGGGAAUGACAUACGUUUACACCCGAAGGCAGCUCGGCGACAUGUUGGUUACUGCCCACAAUUUGACCCUUUGAUAGACUUUCUCAGUGUCCGAGAGCAUCUUGAGCUUUAUGCCAGAUUGAAAGGUGUUCCAAUAGAUAUAACCAAUAGGGUUGUUAUGGAAAAAUUGAAAGAGUUCAAUUUAUUAAAACAUGCUGAUAAAAUAUCUAGCUCCCUUAGUGGGGGAAACAAACGCAAAUUGUCUGUUGCUAUGGCAAUGAUCGGGGAUCCUCCUAUUGUAAUUCUUGAUGAACCUUCAACAGGUAUGGAUCCUCUUGCAAAGAGAUUUAUGUGGGAUGUUAUUUCCCAUUUGUCAACCAGACAGGGGAAAACAGCUGUUAUUCUAACCACACAUAGCAUGAGUGAAGCUCAGGCACUUUGCACAAGGAUUGGGAUAAUGGUUGGAGGCAGGCUUCGAUGCAUUGGGAGCCCACAACAUCUGAAAACACGUUUUGGGAACUAUCUUGAACUAGAGGUGAAGCCAUCUGAGGUUUGCUCCUCUGAGCUGGACAAUUUAUGUCACAGAAUUCAAGAAGCUCUUUUUGAUUUCCCAUGUCACCCGAGGGGUAUACUUAGUGAUUUUGAGAUAUGCAUUGGCGGCAGUGAUUCCAUUUCUUCAGCGGAUGUAUCUGAGAUCAGUUUGUCACAAGAAAUGGUUAUCAGCAUUGGCCACCUGCUAUCCAAUGAACUGCGUGUACAAAAACUUUUAUUAAACACCUCUCUUGCCAAUGGUGCUUUCUGUGAGCAGUUAUCGGAGCAGCUAACUCGUGAUGGUGGUAUUCCUUUGAGAAUAUUUGCUGAGUGGUGGUUGGCUGAUGAAAAGUUCUCAGCUAUUAAUUCUUUUAUUCUCUCAUCAUUUCAUGGAGCAACAUUUCAAGGAUGCAAUGGAUUGAGUGUUAAAUAUCAGCUUCCAUACCGAGAAGGCUCAUCACUUGCUGAUCUCUUUGGGCACAUAGAGAGAAACAGGUACAAACUAGGAAUUGCAGAAUAUAGCAUCAGUCAGUCAACUCUGGAGAGUAUUUUCAAUCACUUUGCUGCUAACCCAUUGUAGUUGAAGACGACUAAAUCAUUUCACAAUUCACUGCGCAACUUCUAGAAUCAUGGGUUGAUUCUCAGCAAGAAUAUCCGCUCUGAAAAUGUCAAGGGAACAAUUCAAGCUUGUGGUAUCAAGUUCACAUGAAGUAACAUCAUAUGGUUUGUUCAGGAAAAAGGAAAUUUAAAUGGUAUAGCCGGUACACCAAGGGAAACUAUAAUCCAUUGGAUCAUGAUCAUCCAUUAAAACAGAUCAUAAUGUGGAGAGUGUGGGACCCAACAUUGCAUGGUGUCUUUUUGUGGUGGGUCCUACUGCACACCAUCCAUCAUUUUGAUGGACAUUUCCGACCUCGAUGAACAUUUAGUUAUGAUCUGUUGGACUGUGCUAUACUGCCUCUUAAACAUAAUCAUUGAUGAGUGGCUUCAAGCAAUGCUUCAAUUUUCUUUAAACACAGGCAGAUCUAAACAUUUGCAUGUGGAAACCACAUUUUGAGGGUUUUUCAACAACGAAUUGCAUGUGGAGACCACACUUUAGCUCCUGGCAUCCAUUGCCCCGGUCCAAAUCGGGUAUUUUCCUGUGGAGGGCUUCUGUGGCUGCUGCACCAUGGAUCAUAUGGACCGAGAGGAAUAGUAGGAUCUUCCGACGAGAAAGAUCUUUGCCAGUCUCUCUCUUCGACUAGAUUAAGUCCAUGGUCAUGUUUUGGGCAACAAAUCACAAAUACUUCGGAGGCCUUCCUCAUUCAGCUCUCUUCCAAGACUGGGUAGCAACUGCAUUUUCAAGACAGUUCUCAUGCCUACCUUUGGGGGCCUCCAAUCCCAGGACAGACCAAACCAAAUUGAAUUUUGAUGGUUGCUCAUUAGGCGACCUGGGUACCUCUGGGAUUGGUGGACUCUUCAGGGACCAUGAAGGUCAUGCAUUCUUGCGUCCUUCUCCAAACCCAUUGGACACUCGGACUCGCACACGUCUGAGGCCCUCGCUUCUUGAAGGGCUCAAGCUCUUUAACCAACAGUGGAGUAGCACUCUAGUAGUUGAGGGGGAGUCCUUGAAUGUCAUUUGAUGGGCUUCUGAUUCCUCCACUCAACCUUGGUCGCUAGCCCAUAUCUUUGACGAAAUCACUCAGUUAAGCAGGGAUUUGGAAGUCUCAAGGAAGCCUACUUGGUGGGAGACCAAUCAAGAAGCUGACUCACUUGCUAAAGACGCCGCUUCCGAAGCCCUACUUAACCAUCCCCAGUCUUAAUAUACCAUACUUUUGGAGAUUUUUUGCCAAAUUAAAGUUUCUCACCUGUAUAGACAAAAAGCCUUGUAUAGGGCUGCCCUCGUAAAGGGUAGUCUCAUUUCGUUACCUUUGUAGAGCACUCCAACAUGGUGGGAAUUUUUGUAUAUAGAGCUCCCAGUUUGUGCUAAGCCUAUUUUUUGAUACGAUUGUACUGCUCUCUUACUUAAUAGAACACAGCAGUUAACAUUUCAAAAAAAUUGGAUGUGGUCUCUGUUACUAGUGUCUGA